rnacentral:rRNA from 1 species
CCUACGGGUGGCAGCAGUGGGGAAUAUUGGGCAAUGGGCGCAAGCCUGACCCAGCAACGCCGCGUGAAGGAAGAAGGCUUUCGGGUUGUAAACUUCUUUUGUCAGGGACGAAGCAAGUGACGGUACCUGACGAAUAAGCCACGGCUAACUACGUGCCAGCAGCCGCGGUAAUACGUAGGUGGCAAGCGUUAUCCGGAUUUACUGGGUGUAAAGGGCGUGUAGGCGGGCCUGCAAGUCAGAUGUGAAAACCACGGGCUCAACCUGUGGCCUGCAUUUGAAACUGUAGUUCUUGAGUACUGGAGAGGCAGACGGAAUUCCUAGUGUAGCGGUGAAAUGCGUAGAUAUCAGGAAGAACACCGAUGGCGAAGGCAGCCCCCUGGGACGCAACUGACGCUCAUACACGAAAGCGUGGGGAGCAAACAGGAUUAGAUACCCUAGUAGUC